rnacentral:rRNA from 1 species
AAGUCGUAACAAGGUUUCCGUAGGUGAACCUGCGGAAGGAUCAUCAUUAAAUCCAUUUAUACACCCUUGUGAACUGUGCGCUGAAGUUGCUACGCUUGUCGUGCAUCUUUCGUUGCAAAAACAACUUAAUUUAAUAAAGCUGAAGCAAUUAUUUUAAAUAAAACAACUUUCAACAAUGGAUCUCUUGGCUCUCGCAUCGAUGAAGAACGCAGCGAAUUGCGAAAAGUAAUGUGAAUUGCAGAAUUCCGUGAAUCAUCGAAUCUUUGAACGCAUAUUGCACUCUCUGGCUCUCCAGAGAGUAUGCCUGUUUGAGUAUCAUUUAAAACCUCUCACCCCCAAUUGGGGAUGAGGAAUUGAGCAGUCCGCUGGCGCUAAAUUGUUUACGCGGUUUAGUGAUUGAUGCGGUUGCUUGAAAUGUAUAGCUAAGCGGUAUUGACCACUGCUUAAGAUGACUAGGCGUAUUAGUUUCCCAUUUGGGAAUCCACUCGUGCGCCGGUGUAAUGUCUCUAAAGCCUUUGUGUUGGUUGAUCGCUAUGCUUUACUAAAUACUCUUUUGAGUGUUUACUUAGUUUGAUUUGCAGUUGCAAUUCGAACUUGAUCUUGAUCUCAAAUCAGGCAAGACUACCCGCUGAAUUUAAGCAUAUUAAUAAGCGGAGGAAAAGAAACUAACAAGGAUUCCCCUAGUAACGGCGAGUGAAGCGGGAAGAGCUCAUCUUUAAAAUCUUAGUGGCUUGCCAUUACGAAUUGUAGUAUGAAGAAGCGUUUUCGGUGACGGCAUUGGCUCAAGUCUCCUGGAAUGGAGCGUCAGAGAGGGUGACAAUCCCGUCUGUGGCUAGUGCGUCUGGAACCAUAUGAUACGUUUUCACAGAGUCGGGUUGUUUGGGAAUGCAGCCCAAAAUGGGUGGUAAAUUCCAUCUAAAGCUAAAUAUUGGCGAGAGACCGAUAGCGAACAAGUACCGUGAGGGAAAGAUGAAAAGAACUUUGAAAAGAGAGUUAAAAAGUACGUGAAAUUGUUGAAAGGGAAACGCUUGAAGCCAUGCAGGCCUUCUGGGGUAACCUGGUUGGCUGGCCAACAUCAGUUUGACUUGCUGGAGAAUGUUACUAGGAAGGUAGGUGCUCUUCGUAUCACUGUUAUAGCCUAGUAUCAAUACAGUGGGUUGGACUGAGGACAGCGACGCGAGCUUUUAGCUGCGAGUCUGUUCGCUGGAAGGAUGCCGCUUAUAGACAGCUUGCUGACUAUGAGUGAGUACUCUAACCAAACGUUCAGCACUUGUCACACGCGUCAAGGAUGUUGGUAGAAAUCGGCUUUAAACGACC